UUGAGUUUCCUCUGAAAUUGCAAAGUUUUCAACAUCUUAAAUUGUCAUCAAUCUGAUGAUUUGACAGUUUGAUAACUGUCAACACGGAUAACAAAGUGAUCCUAUAACCUUUUGAGGCACGGAACUCUAAAAAUAACAAAAGUUUACCUCAUUGAUAACAGUCGAGUAAGGUAUGUCGUCGAAGAGAAACUCCCAGCCAUAUCUGCAGGGCACGACUGGAGUGCCAGUGGGUGGUCGAGUGAGAGUGGACAGUACUUGGGUGUAGUUGGUGUCGUACAUCAUGCAGCGGUCCCAUCCUGGUGGCUCAUCUGUGAAUGGGACGGAGAGAUUGCGUCUGCAAACAAUGUUGAACUAUUGAGCACCGGAACCGAGGGUAACUAACUAUAAACUUUCCUCACAAUAUACUAUACAAAAAGUGGAUAUAUUCUCUCACCUCAACUCUACGCUAAGGACCUGGAGCUCGGGAACCUUGCACCAGUGUUGUUGCGGCG